UGGGAGAUCGUCUAACGGUAGGACGUCGCGCUCUGGACGCGAAAAUCUAGGUUCGAAUCCUGGUCUCCCAG
rnacentral:tRNA from 1 species